rnacentral:rRNA from 1 species
ACGUAGGGGGCAAGCGUUGUCCGGAUUUACUGGGUGUAAAGGGCGCGUAGGCGGCUAUAAAAGUCAGUGGUGAAAUCCUGCGGCUUAACUGCAGAACUGCCAUUGAUACUGUAUAGCUUGAGUGCGGAAGAGAGAGACGGAAUUCCAGGUGUAGUGGUGAAAUACGUAGAUAUCUGGAAGAACACCAGUUGCGAAGGCGGUCUCUUGGUCCGUUACUGGCGCUGAGGCGCGAAAGCGUGGGUAGCAAACAGGAUUAGAUACCCUGGUAGUCCACGCUGUAAACGAUGAAUACUAGGUAUUGGGCCGCAAGGUUCAGUGCCGCAGCAAACGCAUUAAGUAUUCCACCUGGGGAGUACGAUCGCAAGGUUG